rnacentral:rRNA from 1 species
UACGUAGGGUGCGAGCGUUGUCCGGAUUCACUGGGUGUAAAGGGUCCGCAGGCGGGUUGGUUAGUCGUUGGUGAAAUUCCAGAGCUUAACUCUGGAACUGCCGACGAUACUGCCGAUCUUGAGUACGGAAGAGGAAGAUGGAAUUCCUGGUGUAGCGGUGAAAUGCGUAGAUAUCAGGAAGAACACCGGUGGCGAAGGCGGUCUUCUGGUCCGUUACUGACGCUCAGGGACGAAAGCGUGGGGAGCAAACAGG